rnacentral:tRNA from 1 species
GGGUAGUUGGCUUACUGGGUAAGAGCACUUGUUAUACAAACAUGAGGACUUGAGUUCAAAUCCUUAGUACCCA